CCUCAUAUACCACCAGCCUGUCCUCCAGCCCGGCCGUCCUGUCCCCCAGCUCUUUUACAUCUGCAGUAAUGGAGUGGAUUGCAUUUUGUAAUGUGAGCUGUAACUUGCCUGCCAUAGUGUCCAGCAUCGCCUGCAGGAUCCCCUGCGUGACCGGUAAGUCGGCAGCCGCCUGGUCUGGGGAGGGAAUGGGCUCUUCCUCGCCGCCAUCUUGAUUUUCGCCAUGUGGGCCGGAUCCUCGUGUCUGGCUCGCCUUAAUGCCAAAGAAGUUGGAUUUUUCGCCCCGUUCGGUUUGCCGGCGGUGUUUGGGUUGGGACAUCUUACUGCCACUAGCCUUGCAAUGUCGGGUCACCCGCUCUGCAGCUUGUGUAGGCCUGUGCCGCACGGAGCUCCGGCUACAUGCGACCGCUCGCUCCGGAGUCUAGGACACGCCCCCU